AAGAUGCUAAUACCGGAUAACAACAGAUGAUGCCUAUCAACUAGUUUAAAGAUGGUUCUGCUAUCACUCUUGGAUGGACCUGCGGUGCAUUAGCUAGUUGGUAGGGUAACGGCCUACCAAGGCGAUGAUGCAUAGCCGAGUUGAGAGACUGAUCGGCCACAUUGGGACUGAGACACGGCCCAAACUCCUACGGGAGGCAGCAGUG
rnacentral:rRNA from 1 species